AAGGGGGUGUCCCGGGGGACGGGCUGAACCUCAGUCAGGACCGCCUGCGCCGCAGUCCGGGGAUCCGGUCGAGGGGAAAAGAAAAAGGGGUGCCCGGGAGCAGUCCCCGGCUCCCUCCCGUGGAGGCACAGAGGGCGGGGGCCUUGGCGAAUGGCUUUCUUGCUGGCCACUUGCGGAGGUUUGGAUUCAGGAUUUGUUCCUAGUGUCCAAGAUUUUGAUAAGAAGCUUACAGAAGCUGAUGCUUACCUACAAAUCUUGAUUGAACAAUUAAAGCUUUUUGAUGACAAGCUUCAAAACUGCAAAGAAGAUGAACAGAGAAAGAAAAUUGAGACUCUCAAAGAGACAACAAAUAGCAUGGUAGAAUCAAUUAAACACUGCAUUGUGUUGCUGCAGAUUGCCAAAGACCAGAGUAAUGCGGAGAAGCACGCAGAUGGAAUGAUAAAAGAAGAAAAUUGUAUUGUUAGUAUUUCCCAGAUGGAAAUAAAAGAGUUUGAAGAGUACUAUUAAUCCCGUAGAUGCAAUAUAUCAACCUAGUCCUUUGGAACCUGUGAUCAGCACAAUGCCUUCCCAGACUGUGU
rnacentral:sRNA from 1 species